rnacentral:rRNA from 1 species
CCUACGGGUGGCUGCAGUGGGGAAUAUUGCACAAUGGGCGAAAGCCUGAUGCAGCAACGCCGCGUGAGCGAUGAAGGCCUUCGGGUCGUAAAGCGCUGUUCUCAAGGAAGAUAAUGACGGUACUUUAGGAGGAAGCCCCGGCUAACUACGUGCCAGCAGCCGCGGUAAUACGUAGGGGGCUAGCGUUAUCCGGAAUUACUGGGCGUAAAGGGUGCGUAGGUGGUUUCGUAAGUCAGGGGAGAAUGGCUACGGCAAAAACGUAGUAAGCCUUUGAAACUGGGGAGCUUGAGAGCAGGAGAGGAGAGUGGAAUUCCUAGUGUAGCGGUGAAAUGCGUAGAGAGUAGGAGGAACACCAGUUGCGAAGGCAGCUCUCUGGACUGUAACUGACACUGAGGCACGAAAGCGUGGGGAGCAAACAGGAUUAGAUACCCGGGUAGUC